rnacentral:rRNA from 1 species
UACAGAGGUCUCAAGCGUUGUUCGGAUUCAUUGGGCGUAAAGGGUGCGUAGGUGGCGCCGUAAGUCAGGUGUGAAAUUUCGGAGCUUAACUCCGAAACUGCAUUUGAUACUGCGGUGCUUGAGGACUGGAUGAGGAGACUGGAAUUUACGGUGUAGCAGUGAAAUGCGUAGAGAUCGUAAGGAAGACCAGUGGCGAAGGCGGGUCUCUGGACAGUUCCUGACACUGAGGCACGAAGGCCAGGGGAGCAAACGGG